AUUGAACGCUGGCGGCAGGCCUAACACAUGCAAGUCGAACGGCAGCGGGGGAUAGCUUGCUAUCCUGCCGGCGAGUGGCGGACGGGUGAGUAAUGCAUGGGGAGCUGCCCAAUCGAGGGGGAUAACAACUGGAGACGGUUGCUAAUACCGCAUACGCCCUGCGGGGGAAAGGUGGGGACCUACGGGCCUACCGCGAUUGGAUGCACCCAUGUGGGAUUAGCUGGUUGGUGAGGUAACGGCUCACCAAGGCGACGAUCUCUAGCUGGUCUGAGAGGAUGACCAGCCACACUGGAACUGAGACACGGUCCAGACUCCUACGGGAGGCAGCAGUGGGGAAUAUUGCACAAUGGGGGAAACCCUGAUGCAGCCAUGCCGCGUGUGUGAAGAAGGCCUUCGGGUUGUAAAGCACUUUCAGUGGGGAGGAAGGGGAGCAAGCUAAUAGCUUGCUUCAUUGACGUUACCCACAGAAGAAGCACCGGCUAACUCCGUGCCAGCCGCCGCCGUAAUAC
rnacentral:rRNA from 1 species